rnacentral:rRNA from 1 species
UGGGGAAUAUUGCACAAUGGGCGCAAGCCUGAUGCAGCCAUGCCGCGUGUGUGAAGAAGGCCUUCGGGUUGUAAAGCACUUUCAGUCGUGAGGAAGGUAGUGUAGUUAAUAGCUGCAUUAUUUGACGUUAGCGACAGAAGAAGCACCGGCUAACUCCGUGCCAGCAGCCGCGGUAAUACGGAGGGUGCGAGCGUUAAUCGGAAUUACUGGGCGUAAAGCGCAUGCAGGUGGUUUGUUAAGUCAGAUGUGAAAGCCCGGGGCUCAACCUCGGAAUUGCAUUUGAAACUGGCAGACUAGAGUACUGUAGAGGGGGGUAGAAUUUCAGGUGUAGCGGUGAAAUGCGUAGAGAUCUGAAGGAAUACCGGUGGCGAAGGCGGCCCCCUGGACAGAUACUGACACUCAGAUGCGAAAGCGUGGGGAGCAAACAGGAUUAGAUACCCCCGUAGUCC